UAACUUGCCUUAAACACGUUUCCCUUGUAUGGACCGUUGCACUUUACAACUACAGUUAAAUGUUUUAAUAAGACUUAGAAUCAAAACCCCAGAUAUAACAACGUUUGUGUGUGAAUUGAAUGUUUUUUUUUGUCUAACAUCCGUAAUUAAUUUUCCCCCAUGCAUAUAUGCAUGACAUCAAGACACUCAAACAAUCGUCUUGGCCAUGGCUGAGACUGUCUAUGUGUUUGUCAUCACUCAACACCAGUUUUGCCUUUUUUUUUUUCCUCACUCCAAAAGUGGCAAUCUUGCAUUUCAUUUGUGAAAUAAAGUACAUGUACAUA